rnacentral:rRNA from 1 species
AAUCUGCGAUAAGCGUCGGUAAGGUGAUAUGAACCGUUAUAACCGGCGAUUUCCGAAUGGGGAAACCCAGUGUGUUUCGACACACUAUCAUUAACUGAAUCCAUAGGUUAAUGAGGCGAACCGGGGGAACUGAAACAUCUAAGUACCCCGAGGAAAAGAAAUCAACCGAGAUUCCCCCAGUAGCGGCGAGCGAACGGGGAGCAGCCC